AAUUGGCGGAGCCCCGGGAUCGCGGCUGGUAAUGCGUAGCAUGUUUACCUUGCCGAUCUCGUCGUGGUCGAUGGCCUGCUUGAUGCGGGCAAAGUUGGAGCAAAUCUGUAAAAAUUAUCCAGGUUCGGAUUAAGGGCUGAAACUCGCCCUUAUGAAGUUGGAACCGCUAGUAAUCGCAGAACAGCAUUGUGCGGUGAAAGUGUUACUGGACUUUGUCUA
rnacentral:ncRNA from 1 species